rnacentral:rRNA from 1 species
AUUAGGUCAAGCUAAAAAGAGCGCAGGGUGGAUGCCUUGGCACUAAGAGCCGAUGAAAGACGUGAUAAGCUGCGAUAAGCUACGGGGAGGAGCACAUAUCC